GUGGGGAAUUUUGGACAAUGGGCGAAAGCCUGAUCCAGCCAUGCCGCGUGCAGGAUGAAGGCCUUCGGGUUGUAAACUGCUUUUGUACGGAACGAAAAGACUCUGGUUAAUACCUGGGGUCCAUGACGGUACCGUAAGAAUAAGCACCGGCUAACUACGUGCCAGCAGCCGCGGUAAUACGUAGGGUGCAAGCGUUAAUCGGAAUUACUGGGCGUAAAGCGUGCGCAGGCGGUUAUAUAAGACAGAUGUGAAAUCCCCGGGCUCAACCUGGGAACUGCAUUUGUGACUGUAUAGCUAGAGUACGGUAGAGGGGGAUGGAAUUCCGCGUGUAGCAGUGAAAUGCGUAGAUAUGCGGAGGAACACCGAUGGCGAAGGCAAUCCCCUGGACCUGUACUGACGCUCAUGCACGAAAGCGUGGGGAGCAAACAGGAUUAGAAACCCGGGUAGUCC
rnacentral:rRNA from 1 species